rnacentral:rRNA from 1 species
GAUGAACGCUGGCGGCGUGCCUAAUACAUGCAAGUCGAGCGAACGGACGAGAAGCUUGCCUCUCUGAUGUUAGCGGCGGACGGGUGAGUAACACGUGGAUAACCUACCUAUAAGACUGGGAUAACUUCGGGAAACCGGAGCUAAUACCGGAUAAUAUUUUGAACCGCAUGGUUCAAAAGUGAAAGACGGUCUUGCUGUCACUUAUAGAUGGAUCCGCGCUGCAUUAGCUAGUUGGUAAGGUAACGGCUUACCAAGGCAACGAUGCAUAGCCGACCUGAGAGGGUGAUCGGCCACACUGGAACUGAGACACGGUCCAGACUCCUACGGGAGGCAGCAGUAGGGAAUCUUCCGCAAUGGGCGAAAGCCUGACGGAGCAACGCCGCGUGAGUGAUGAGGGUCUUCGGAUCGUAAAACUCUGUUAUUAGGGAAGAACAUAUGUGUAAGUAACUGUGCACAUCUUGACGGUACCUAAUCAGAAAGCCACGGCUAACUACGUG